AUUGAACGCUGGCGGCGUGCCUAACACAUGCAAGUCGCACGCGAAAGGGAGCAAUCCCGAGUAGAGUGGCGGACGGGUGAGUAACGCGUAGGAAUCUACCUCGUAGUGGGGGACAACCCGGCGAAAGCCGGGCUAAUACCGCAUACGACCUGAGGGUGAAAGCAGGGGAUCGCAAGGCCUUGCGCUAUGAGAUGAGCCUGCGUCCGAUUAGCUAGUUGGUGAGGUAACGGCUCGCCAAGGCGACGAUCGGUAACUGGUUUGAGAGAACGACCAGUCACACUGGGACUGAGACACGGCCCAGACGCCUACGGGAGGCAGCAGUGGGGAAUCUUGGACAAUGGGGGCAACCCUGAUCCAGCGACGCCGCGUGUGUGAAGAAGGCCUUCGGGUUGUAAAGCACUUUCGGCAGGGACAAACAAGACGGAGCUAACAUCUCCGUUCCUGAUGGUACCUGAAGAAGAAGCACCGGCUAACUCUGUGCCAGCCGCCGCCGUAAUAC
rnacentral:rRNA from 1 species